GAUGAACGCUGGCGGCGUGCCUAAUACAUGCAAGUCGAGCGAACAGACGAGGAUCUUGCUCCUCUUACGUUAGCGGCGGACGGGUGAGUAACACGUGGAUAACCUACCUAUAAGACUGGGAUAACUUCGGGAAACCGGAGCUAAUACCGGAUAAUAUAUUGAACCGCAUGGUUCAAUAGUGAAAGACGGUUUUGCUGUCACUUAUUGAUGUAUCCGCGCCGCAUUAGCUAGUUGGUAAGGUAACGGCUUACCAAGGCAACGAUGCGUAGCCGACCUGAGAGGGUGAUCGGCCACACUGGAACUGAGACACGGUCCAGACUCCUACGGGAGGCAGCAGUAGGGAAUCUUCCGCAAUGGGCGAAAGCCUGACGGAGCAACGCCGCGUGAAUGAUGAAGGUCUUCGGAUCGUAAAACUCUGUUAUUAGGGAAGAACAAAUGUGUAAGUAACUAUGCACGUCUUGACGGUACCUAAUCAGAAAGCCACGGCUAACUACGUG
rnacentral:rRNA from 1 species